GGCUCAGGAUGAACGCUAGCUACAGGCUUAACACAUGCAAGUCGAGGGGUCUUGUGGGGCUUGCUCCACGAGACGACCGGCGCACGGGUGAGUAACGCGUAUCCAACCUGCCCUUCAUAUUGGGAUAGCCUUCCGAAAGGGAGAUUAAUACCGAAUAACAUGAUAAAGUUGCAUGAUCUUUUCAUGAAAGCUCCGGCGAUGAAGGAUGGGGAUGCGUUCCAUUAGGUAGUAGGCGGGGUAACGGCCCACCUAGCCGACGAUGGAUAGGGGUUCUGAGAGGAAGGUCCCCCACACUGGAACUGAGACACGGUCCAGACUCCUACGGGAGGCAGCAGUGAGGAAUAUUGGUCAAUGGUCAGACGACUGAACCAGCCAUGCCGCGUGAAGGUGACGGCCCUAUGGGUCUUAAACUUCUUUUGCGAGGGAGCAAUAAGGGUCACGUGUGGCCUGAUGAGAGUACCUCGCGAAUAAGCAUCGGCUAACUCCGUG
rnacentral:rRNA from 1 species